CCUACGGGAGGCAGCAGUAGGGAAUCUUCCACAAUGGACGCAAGUCUGAUGGAGCAACGCCGCGUGAGUGAUGAAGGCUUUCGGGUCGUAAAACUCUGUUGUUGGAGAAGAACGUGUGUGAGAGUAACUGCUCAUGCAGUGACGGUAUCCAACCAGAAAGCCACGGCUAACUACGUGCCAGCAGCCGCGGUAAU
rnacentral:rRNA from 1 species